UCGCUACUACCGAUUGAAUGAUUUAGUGAAUUUCAGGGACUCGAGAACAUAGAAGGGUUUCCUUCCUUGUUUUUAAGGAACUGACGUAAAUUUGAUCAUUUAGAGGAAGUAA
rnacentral:rRNA from 1 species